rnacentral:rRNA from 1 species
AUUGAACGCUGGCGGCAGGCCUAACACAUGCAAGUCGAGCGGCAGCGGGAAGUAGCUUGCUACUUUGCCGGCGAGCGGCGGACGGGUGAGUAAUGUCUGGGAAACUGCCUGAUGGAGGGGGAUAACUACUGGAAACGGUAGCUAAUACCGCAUAACGUCGCAAGACCAAAGAGGGGGACCUUCGGGCCUCUUGCCAUCAGAUGUGCCCAGAUGGGAUUAGCUAGUAGGUGGGGUAACGGCUCACCUAGGCAACGAUCCCUAGGUGGUCUGAGAGGAUGACCAGCCGCACUGGAAGUGAGACACGGUCAAGACUCCUACGGGAGGCAGCAGUGGGGAAUAUUGCACAAUGGGCGCAAGCCUGAUGCAGCCAUGCCGCGUGUAUGAAGAAGGCCUUCGGGUUGUACAGUACUUUCAGCGGGGAGGAAGGUGUUGAGGUUAAUAACCUCAGCAAUUGACGUUACCCGCAGAAGAAGCACCGGCUAACUCCGUGCCAGCAGCCGCAGUAAAAC